rnacentral:rRNA from 1 species
CAUACUAGCCUACGACGGGUACGGGUUGUGAGAGCAAGAGCCCGGAGAUGGAUUCUGAGACACGAAUCCAGGCCCUACGGGGUGCAGCAGGCGCGAAAACUUUACAAUGCUGGCAACAGCGAUAAGGGAACCUCGAGUGCCAGGUUACAAAUCUGGCUGUCGAGAUGCCUAAAAAGCAUUUCAUAGCAAGGGCCGGGCAAGACCGGUGCCAGCCGCCGCGGUAACACCGGCGGCUCGAGUGGUAACCGUUAUUAUUGGGUCUAAAGGGUCUGUAGCCGGCCGGAUAAGUCUCUUGAGAAAUCUGGCAGCUUAACUGUCAGGCUUUCAGGAGAUACUGUCUGGCUCGAGGCCGGGAGAGGUGAGAGGUACUUCAGGGGUAGGGGUGAAAUCUUGUAAUCCUUGAAGGACCACCAGUGGCGCAGGCGUCUCACCAGAACGGACCUGACGGCAAGGGACGAAAGCUAGGGGCACGAACCGGAUUAGAUACCCGGGUAGUCCUAGCCGUAAACGAUACUCGCUAGGUGUCGGCCACGGUGCGACCGUUGUCGGUGCCGUAGGGAAGCCGUGAAGCGAGCCACCUGGGAAGUACGGCCGCAAGGCUGAAACUUAAAGGAAUUGGCGGGGGAGCACCACAACGGGUGGAGCUUGCGGUUUAAUUGGAGUCAACGCCGGG